CCUACGGGAGGCAGCAGUGGGGAAUCUUGCACAAUGGAGGAAACUCUGAUGCAGCGAUGCCGCGUGAGUGAAGAAGGCCUUUGGGUUGUAAAGCUCUUUUGUAGGGGAAGAUAAUGACUGUACCCUAAGAAUAAGGUCCGGCUAACUUCGUGCCAGCAGCCGCGGUAAUACGAAGGGACCUAGCGUAGUUCGGAAUUACUGGGCGUAAAGCGCGCGUAGGCCGUUGAGUUAGUUAAUUGUGAAAUCCCAAAGCUUAACUUUGGAACUGCAAUUAAAACUGCUCGACUAGAGUUUGAUAGAGGAAAGCGGAAUACAUAGUGUAGAGGUGAAAUUCGUAGAUAUUAUGUAGAACACCAGUUGCGAAGGCGGCUUUCUGGAUCAACACUGACGCUGAGGCGCGAAAGUAUGGGUAGCAAAGAGGAUUAGAUACCCUCGUAGUCCAUACCAUAAACGAUGAUUGCUAGAUGUUGGAAAUUUAUUUUACUAGUAUCGCAGCUAACGCAUUAAGCAAUCCGCCUGGGGAGUACGACCGCAAGGUUAAAACUCAAAGGAAUUAGAACGUGUGAGAGUGACGAGCACAGAGGAGAGG
rnacentral:rRNA from 1 species